AGCUCAUCAAUCGUUUCA
rnacentral:miRNA from 1 species